CUUAGCAGAGAUGCUUGGUGCCUUCGGGAACGUCUGAGACAGGUGCUGCAUGGCUGUCGUCAGCUCGUGUUGUGAAAUGUUGGGUUAAGUCCCGCAACGAGCGCAACCCUUAUCCUUUGUUGCCAGCGGUCCGGCCGGGAAACUCAAAGGAGACUGCCAGUGAUAAACUGGAGGAAGGUGGGGAUGACGUCAAGUCAUCAUGGCCCUUACGAGUAGGGCUACACACGUGCUACAAUGGCGCAUACAAAGAGAAGCGACCUCGCGAGAGCAAGCGGACCUCAUAAAGUGCGUCGUAGUCCGGAUUGGAGUCUGCAACUCGACUCCAUGAAGUCGGAAUCGCUAGUAAUCGUAGAUCAGAAUGCUACGGUGAAUACGUUCCCGGGCCUUGUACACACCGCCCGUCACACCAUGGGAGUGGGUUGCAAAAGAAGUAGGUAGCUUAACCUUCGGGAGGGCGCUUACCACUUUGUGAUUCAUGACUGGGGUGAAGUCGUAACAAGGUAGGCGUAGCGAG
rnacentral:rRNA from 1 species